rnacentral:rRNA from 1 species
GAGUUUGAUCAUGGCUCAGGAUGAACGCUGGCGGCGUGCUUAACACAUGCAAGUCGAACGAACCUUCGGGUUAGUGGCGGACGGGUGAGUAACGCGUGAGAAUCUGCCCUCAGGAGGGGGAUAACAGCUGGAAACGGCUGCUAAUACCCCAUAUGCCGCGAGGUGAAAUGAAUUUCGCCUGAGGAUGAGCUCGCGUCUGAUCAGCUAGUUGGUGUAGGUAAUGGCUCACCAAGGCAUCGAUCAGUAGCUGGUCUGAGAGGAUGAUCAGCCACACUGGGACUGAGACACGGCCCAGACUCCUACGGGAGGCAGCAGUGGGGAAUUUUCCGCAAUGGGCGAAAGCCUGACGGAGCAACGCCGCGUGAGGGAUGAAGGCCUCUGGGCUGUAAACCUCUUUUAUCAAGGAAGAAGAUCUGACGGUACUUGAUGAAUAAGCCACGGCUAAUUCCGUGCCAGCAGCCGCGGUAAUACGGGAGUGGCAAGCGUUAUCCGGAAUUAUUGGGCGUAAAGCGUCCGCAGGCGGCCCUUCAAGUCUGCUGUUAAAAAGUGGAGCUUAACUCCAUCAUGGCAGUGGAAACUGAGGGGCUUGAGUGUGGUAGGGGCAGAGGGAAUUCCCGGUGUAGCGGUGAAAUGCGUAGAUAUCGGGAAGAACACCAGUGGCGAAGGCGCUCUGCUGGGCCAUCACUGACGCUCAUGGACGAAAGCCAGGGGAGCGAAAGGGAUUAGAUACCCCUGUAGUCCUGGCCGUAAACGAUGAACACUAGGUGUCGGGGGAAUCGACCCCCUCGGUGUCGUAGCCAACGCGUUAAGUGUUCCGCCUGGGGAGUACGCACGCAAGUGUGAAACUCAAAGGAAUUGACGGGGGCCCGCACAAGCGGUGGAGUAUGUGGUUUAAUUCGAUGCAACGCGAAGAACCUUACCAGGGUUUGACAUCCUGCGAAUCUCUUGGAAACGAGAGAGUGCCUUCGGGAGCGCAGUGACAGGUGGUGCAUGGCUGUCGUCAGCUCGUGUCGUGAGAUGUUGGGUUAAGUCCCGCAACGAGCGCAACCCACGUCUUUAGUUGCCAGCAUUUAGUUGGGCACUCUAGAGAGACCGCCGGUGAUAAACCGGAGGAAGGUGUGGAUGACGUCAAGUCAUCAUGCCCCUUACAUCCUGGGCUACACACGUACUACAAUGCUACGGACAAAGGGCAGCAAGUUCGCGAGGACAAGCAAAUCCCAUAAACCGUGGCUCAGUUCAGAUCGUAGGCUGCAACUCGCCUACGUGAAGGAGGAAUCGCUAGUAAUCGCAGGUCAGCAUACUGCGGUGAAUACGUUCCCGGGCCUUGUACACACCGCCCGUCACACCAUGGAAGUUGGCCACGCCCGAAGCCGUUACUCCAACCCUUGUGGAGGAGGACGUCGAAGGUGGGGCUGAUGACUGGGGUGAAGUCGUAACAAGGUAACC